CGACCUCGAGCCCGCUGAGGCGGCCGGUUGCUAGCCCUGUUUCUUAACUCUUAAGCCCAACUCUGACCCGCGUCCGUGGGAGAGGGGCUUGGCACUGACGCAUCAGCUCAGCCCCUGGGUGACAACCGUUCUACUUGUCGUUCUCAUCAUAAAGCUACAAGGAUGGUCCUAGUCCCAUUUUACAGCUGAAAAACUGAGGUCCAAGAAGGAACUGACCAUCAACAGGACCAGAAGUGAAACUGAAGUUGACGGACUCCUGCCUGAGUGCUUGGCUCCACUUGGGGACCACUGUGUCCCCAACCUAAGGGUCCCAUUAAAAAAAUGGAGUCUUCCUUAUGCUGAUGAAUGAAGUGACCCUUAAUAAGAUGCAACCAGGCCAGAAAAAGCCAAAUGAGAAAGUUGGCAGCAUUACAAACAAACAUGCCUGGACUGCCAGUCAAGGAGAAGGAUGGAAGACACGUGGAGCAGAGCGGAGUUAUCCCAGCCGGGCCCAGCCUGCAUCAGCCAACCCCCAGUUCCACGAGAGUAAACAGUGGUGGUUUCAAGACACUGAAUUUUAGGGACGCCUGGGUGGCUCAUUCAGUU